GGUGGCAGACACCUAUAGUCCCAGCUACUUGGGAGGCUGAGGCAAGAGAAUUGCUUGAAUCUGGGAGGCAAAGGUUGCAGUGAGCCAAGAUCACACCACUGCACUCCAACCUGAGGGACAGAGUGAGACUCCAUCUCAAAAAAAAAGCGGCCCCUCCUUCAGUUUAGCUUUCUUAUUCACAAAGUACUUUCACAUACAUUAUGCCCACUUGUUUCCAGCUGAGACUGACCAUGGACAUGCUCUUCUGAUUCUGUCUUGUUUGUAUAAUCCAAUUUCAUAGCUACAUUGCCAAGGAGGAUACAUUUCACAGGAUUACCAUUUAUGGUGGCUACAGAGAAUCCCACUGUUCUAAGCUCUAGUAUGCAAAACCAUUUCCCAAGUGUGCAUCUGGAAUAACUCAGUCUUUUUCUUUUAAGAAUAGUUGUGGUAAAGUGCCUUCUAUAAUAUUGUUUUUCCUUUCUUUGCAGUAUAUUUCCUUGAGUUCUCUAUCCCUUUGAGUGACACUAAUAUCAGGAGACAAUGGCACCAAGAGCCUGUGACUAGGCCUUUCCUUUAAGCUCAGAAGAAGACUGACAAAUGGGGAAGCCAAGCAGAUUCUAUGGCCCUUUUGUUACGUUCAUGCUUCACUCAUUUGUUCAGAAGUUUGUAGAGAGCCUUUCCUUGCUGAGCAAGAAGACAGGAAUACAGAGAUAGAUGCUCAACUGAAAGAUUGCAGACACAGGCUGGUUGACACAUACUUCUCUCAGCUGCCACAGAAGGGAUUCUUGCCUUAGAUAAAGAAGAUGGCCUUUGGAAGCCCUCAUAACCUGAGCUC
rnacentral:lncRNA from 1 species